rnacentral:lncRNA from 1 species
AUAAAGACAGGCUGUGCCACAGAAAAGCGGUAUGCACAAAGGCAAGGGGGACAAAGAGACACCUUGGUGAUGUAAUACACUCGCGGUGUUCCGGCAGUGGCAUGAAAAGCCUAGCGUUCGAUUCAUCCAGUUGCUUGUCUCCAUGCAGCACGACAAAUGAGAUUGGUGAAACAGUACCGUUGGAUCAAUAUUUGCAGAUACGAGCAGUAGUCGAUGUAGAUUAUGAACUCGGUUAAGAAUGCUAGAAAGCUACGACCACAAAAAUGGACGGAUUAUUUUUUUUAUCAUUUACUAGAUGGGAAGCCAUCAGAACUUGUAGAGCUUGUUACAUUAUUGUACGCUACACGUGCAUGGAGUACAAUUUUACAUUUUUGCUACAGUAUCCAUGUCGAUUGUAUCCCUCCGUCC